GCUGUGGAAGUUUUUGACCUAAUAGCAACAUGUCUUGUUUUUGGAUAGGUCACCAAAUAUCCAGGGCAACUAAUCACCAGCCUGACCAUGCCUCUAGGCCAGCAUUGAGCACUUUUAUUUAAGGUCCAGCAAUUUUGCUUUGUUUUGAUAGGUAAUGAGAAAGUUUAUUUAGAGGCCUCUUUUGAAUGCUUUUCAGCCACAGUGUAGAAACUUUUCAGCUUCUAGACAGCUUAACUUGUUCCCACAACCAUCUCCAAAACUGUUGUCGUCAGUUUGAGACUCAUCCCCCUAUCUUCCUCUGAAUUUAAGUGCUGUUUCUCCUGUCUGCCAGAUGACUAACAGCACCGUGUCUGAUGAACACUAACAGUUCAUUUAUUACUUCUCCUAAAACUGGCUACAGUGAAAGUUUCCAUAAUGAUUUGUUUCAUCAACAGUGCAUGCACACUUAACUACAUUGUAUUUCCUUCCCUGUAGCAGUUUCUAACUACACAGGCAAAAGUCCAAGUACUUUGUUCUUUUUCUCCUUAUGGAGUGCAACAAUUAUUCUGUCCUAAGACUGUGGGGCAAUAGUCAUAAUGUUUGCUAGAUCAGUUGCCCUGACAGGAGGCUCAAGGAGUUUUGGUUUGAUUACUGAAAGAAGCAGCAUUUAUGCUGUAGCAAAACUUCUUGUCACACCCUGCUCUGAUACAUCAAGAUUUAUUUUUUUUUCACAGUGGCCAUAAUUUCUUCAAUUUCUGGAGGCUGAAAAACUGUUUCUAAAAUUAUCCAGGCUUCUCAAAACUUUCUGUGUGGCAGUGAUUUCAGUGCCUGUGCUAAAACAACGUUUAACAACGCUUACCGUCUUCUUUUUGCUUCUUUCCUCAUACUGUGUGCAUCGUAUUCUCCUGCAAAUUCUACUCACUCUCGCACUUAAAUAGCUUGGUCAAAUAAAGGAGAAGCAAAAUUCCAGCUUCUCAAGAGCCAGGAAAUUGGGUUUUUUACAAUGGGUGCAUGUUACAUGUAAUGCUGCUUUGGGGUUUCUGGUGUUCCAAGUACUGGAGAGGGCACCUGCUGGUUGAAGUGGAGGUGGGAGAGCAAUUCCUGCAGCCCCUGAAUGCCUGAGCAUUGGAAACAGCUUCAGUCUUAGCACAGGUUCUUUGGUUAUAUUCAUUGUCAGGAAGCCCAAGCAAUUUCCUAGUGUUGUUAUUAGCUUUUCAGUAUAAACACGAGAGACAUCUAUAAAUGAGCAUUAGCAAUUUGUGUAGGAAUGUAGCUGUGACUUGCACCUCCCUGGAGGCAGGGACCCCUUUGUAACAUUCAUUUUAAGUAGAAAUGACACAGCAUCCAGCCUCAUAUACAAGCAACCUUGAACUUCAGGAAGUUAAAUUCUGCAGAUAGCCCCUAUCUAUAACAGACAAAGCCCCAGUGAUAUAUUUAACACUCUGUGAACCGGAAUAUGAAUAAGCAUACCAUUUGUAUCUAUUCAUGUUUCAUUUUACAACUUGGGCGUGAUUUUAUCUGCCUGCUUUGUCACAAGUAACUGCAAGAUACUAAGGCAUAUGUUAUUUUGAUCACUGAUUACACCAUGAUCCUGGUGUUCCCAUCAUGAGCCGAGGUUAGCUCUCAGGACAGUGCCAUUUAAUCCUCUACCUGGAGGCAAACCCGACAGUUCAGACAAUGAAUAUUGUCCCAACAGCUGAAUGUGUCUUUGUGCAUUUGUCAGGGAUGGAUACAAAGCUGCCAGCUGCUGCUGCCAGUAGAAACAGAAAGAGGAGGACUGUUGGGAAUAGCUGCUCUUUUAUGAGGACAGCAGUGGAUCAUAUGAGAAGGGUGUCUAAGGCAUGUGUUACCCAGUUACCAGUGAGGCUGGAGUAUAUCAUUUACUCCAAAGUAGUCUUUCAAAGGAUGUUCAUGCUUAAGUUAUGUAUCCUUUAAAAUUUUGCAGAGUGGUGCUUGAGCAGUAAGUGUAUCAUUAAAUAUAGUUAAAUUUAUAAAAUUGAUUUAAUUUUUUUUAAUAUGCAAAGUUCAAAGAUAAACCUAAAUUUUGAAGAGAAAAAUGUCCACUCCUGUCAUGCAGCACCUCCACUUUGAUUCACUAAUAUGUUGCACUUGCUUUGCAAAACAUGACAGAGAUGAUAAACCAUAACAACUGAGGGAAGAAAUGUUUCUUCAAUAGGGUACUGGUUCAGAUUCUCCCUCAUCAAUAGUUUCUUUUCAUAUUUCAGCCAGAACGGAUCUGUGAGGUCUCUGACUUCUUACUGGCUCCUACAGAGCAAAUUCCUGAGCUCCAGGUUCUGCAAACCAAGUGGCUUAGAGCAGUCCUGGGCCCUGGUCCUGGCCUGGCUCUGUAAGUUGCUUCCAGGUCUGUCUGAGUUGUCUUUGAGGUGCAGCAAAUAUAGAGACUGAUCCAAUCCCACAGUUUAACCUGGCUGAGAAGAGAUGGCAGGUACCAAAGACAGCAGGAUAUUUUUUAACUCUGUGUUGACAACAUUGAAGAGUUGCUGAUCUCUCAAAGUGACAAGUCACAAGGCAUGUCCUUUGGUUCAGUUCAAUACUUAAAGGCUGUAUCAAGACUUGUUAUCCUUUUAGUCUGGGCAGAAUUCCUCCCAAUUCCUUUUUCUAAAAGUCUUUUUACAUCUAGGUAUGGUUGGCCCACUGUGUUUGCUUGCCUAUGGGGAGACACAUAUUUUUAUUGGCAUUGCAGCUACCCAUGACUUCCAGAUGAGAGAUAGUCCAUGAGCAAGAACUGAGAACCUGUGACUUGUGCCUAUACUGGAUCUCAUAUGGCAAACUAUCAAGAAAAGGUGUUCUUGUGGACAGAGACAGUUCAAAAAGAUUUGUGCUUCAGUAUUCCAGAAGAAUGGAUUCUUGUAGGCUCCCCUGUCCUUUAAGGACAUUUCAGACAUCUGAGCAUGUUAUGGGUACCAACCCAUUGCAACCUCCCACUUUUGGAAUGGUUUCUUUACACUCAGUUCCUAACGCAAAGUGGAGUUCAAAGAGUAAUGAAAAUUAGCUUAUUUUGCCACAUCAGCCAGCUAAGCUUCCCCAUGUUAUCUGUUCAAAGAUCCAUAAGAAAUAAACUGCACAGUUGUCAUUCAGAUCCAAAGCAAAUGCCCCCCUUAAAAAUAAUUAUCCUUUAUCUCAGUAGUCUUCCUAGAGAGGUCAAAGAUUGGGCAUGGAGCUGUAGCUCACUGCAGGGUGGUUGUAGCAGGUGACCUUUAAAGGCCCCUUCCAACACAAGCUAUUCCAUGAUCCCAUGAGACUUAUCCCUAUCUUUGGAUUCGCCAAGGUGAGACACAUAGGAGAAAGGAAAUGGUCACUGUUGCACAGCUGCUGCCAGACAUCACAUCACUGCUCCAUAAUUAAAACUUUACUACAGCAAGGAUUCAACUGAUUGAUUACAUGUGAAGAACAAAGCAUCUGUCCUUGAAAACUGCAUCAAACAAGCAAAUUGUAUCUUUUGGUAUGUCUGUUAGUUUAGAAUUUUCAGAAUUUUAAGUUCAGGGUUUAUUAGAAACAUAGGGUAUUGAUACUGUCUUUUAAGGUAUCACUUUUACCCUGUCAUGGUUUCAGCAGCUUUACAUAACAACACAUCUUCAAAGAUCAAAACAAAUACAGAAUGUGAAACCCUAAAAGGCCAGUUUCAGAGUUAUAAGAUUCCAGUAAGCAGAGUUGAUGGAAAUGCCAUUUUCACUUGCCAUUUAGAGCAAAAUAAAAACACAUUCCAACAACCUGCAAGUCCUAAAUAAUGACUGCUUCUUGUUUUCACAAUAUUGCAGUGUGAUUAUGCUUUGGUGUCCUUAUUUUGUAUAAUAAAUUAUAAAAAAUGUAAAUAUCUUUCAAAGUUGUUUACACAAGACACUUCAAAGUGUGAUACCAAGUUUAAAACAUCCAGAUGUAGAACAAUAUUUGUUGUGAAAAUGUCUAUGAGUCUUACUGAAAAAAAUCAACUAAGAAUUUGUAAAACAGUUCACAGAUGCAAAACACAAAUAAAACCUUCAGGAGUUUCAUAAUAUUUUGGGUGUUGCAGAUACUCUGUCUGUUGUAUGCCUUCUAUAUUUCUCAAAAGUAAUUACUGCCAAUGGUAACAACUUUCUACAACUUACUGCAAUUCCUGGUGUUUGCAUAUGUGUUUAUGCAUUGGAGGAAGAACAAAAAAAAUAUUCUGGACUCUCUCCGUAAUGCCAUACCGCAAUACUUUGUGGCUGUCACCUCUGUUUUACCAAUGUGUGUUUAUCUCCAACACUUAGAAAAUAAGUAGCUUGAGCUCUCUGGGAUAGUUGCCCCAGAGGAACAUUCUUGCUAUUAUUGCAGCAGCUCCUGUAAAAAUAUAUUACUAUUAAACAAGCAACUUAUUAACACUUGCCAAAUACUGUAUUCCUUUUAUCCCAUACACUCAGAACUGAGACUGAAACCCCACAGCAUCAGCAGCAAUUUUGCUUUCUUGCUGUUCAUUGUCAGGUCUUUCCUAAAACCCUUGAGGACUGAUCUUACCUUGGGUGUUUCUUGGUUUCAUAGUCCUGAAGCACUACAGGCAUUCAGGCUGCCUGGCCUUUUACUCAGAAAAGAAAGUGAGGUUGCCAGAUAAUCGUUCAGAGGGUAACACAUCUAAUCCUUGGGGAGGUCAAGUGAGGUGAGAAGAAAGGAGAUGCAUACUGCUAAUGCUCUGACAGCUCUGUCAAUAUAAAUUCAUUAGUAUGUAUAGAAGUAUUUUAGAUUUCAAAAAGCAGAAUAGUACCUCAGUUGUAUUCAUGAACUCAAGUCUCUCCUGAGUUUACCUCAGGAAAAGCAGAUGGAUCUGGUGCAAAGUGUGUGUGAAAUGCAGAAUUUUUGGAAGUCCAAAAUGCUUUCCACAGACAGCCUUUUAGAUCUUGUCAGUAUUAGUUCUGGUUUACUUUCUAAGGGCAGUUGGUGGCAUUUGACCCAGUUGAUUCUUAGGUAUGACCAGCAAUGUGUUGAGUGAACAGAAAGAUAGAGCAGGAACCAGAUCCUUAAUGCUACACUCAAAAUUUUUCUGUAGUUAGAAGAAAACAUCAAAUAUGGAACUAAGAACUUGUUAGUUCUAUUGUUAGUCCAAUUAAUAUUUUAACACUGUCAUUUUUCAAAGUAUUGGAUAAAUUUGGGAAAAAAAGACAAAACCCAACACCCUCAUUAAUAGUGCACCUCUCUGUAUUUAUAUAUAUCCAAUGCAUACUUGUGUACAGAAAAUGCUUUAGCACUCAAAAGGGUCUGAGAGUACAACUAUGUAUUUUUUGUCUUAGAAUAUCCCCAGUACAAUAACUGAAGGUUCAGCCUUCAGAAUCCCGGUGAUACAGAGCUACAUUUACAGGUGUGUAAUCUGUUGCCAUAGGUGAUUAUACUGUACAUAUACUGUACAUAUAAUUGUACUGCAAUACAAUUUUCUAUAGGAAAUUUUGUAUGCCUUGGUGAUUGACCUUUUCUUCUUGGAACAAAGACUCUACAUUUCAACACUACAUUUCUAUAAAUACAGAAAUCUUCAUCCGAGACAUAUAUAUAUAUAUUAUUUUUUUUUGAGAACAUCAAUAUUCAUGGAUUAGGAAGAACUAAUCUGUCUCCACAUAGUUUUUUUCCUUGCUUAGAGAUAAAUCCUUUAGGUUGGAUCCUUUUUUCUCUUAUUAGAAAGAUUUAUGUCAUGCCCAUUUUUAAAAUCAGCCAUGGCAUUGCAGUUAAAAGAAAAGUGGUGUGACUUUCACUUUUUCUAUAUGUAUGCAGCUUAACAAAAUCAUGCAGUAAAGAAAACUAAGUGAUACACAGCUUCCAGAAUGGGUAUAUUUGGAAGGGUUUGAUUAAACUGUGUUAUCUGUGAGAAAUAACAGGAGCAAAUAUAAUUAAUAGUUAUCUUAGUUACCCAGGCACCCAGCACCUCCUUCAGUAUGAGUUUCUGAGGAUAUACAGGAUUAUUAGCUGCAUUUCUGUUUCCUGAGUAUUUCAUUUUGAAGUACAUACUAAUAAAACAACUACUUCAUUACUACUUAGUAUGAAAAUUUACUUCAUAUUAUUAGAUAACUUUUUUAGAUAACAGUUUUUUUGCAACAAGGAGCUAAAUAUUUAUAUUUUAAUCCAAAUAGCAAUCUUCACGGAUAAUAUAUUAAUUACAGUCAUGUAUUAUAUGGGUAAAUUAAGUUAAUGCAUACCAGUUCCUUUAGAAUAGUUUAAGUGCUGAUGGCUGUCAGUUUUCCUCAGUUUCAAACACCCUUCCUUUCUGAUGUCUCUGAGCCUUCUGUUUAUCUCUCAAAAUUCUCUUUGAAUGUUGUUUUCCAUUACCUAAUUCUGCUCAAAAGAUGGUUAAUAUUGGUGACCAAUCUCAUUUUAGCUUAAGCAGCCACUGGGUGCAGAUUUCCUCUUGCUUGUACCAUCAGCCCUUGCAUUAGGGCAUCAUCACUGCUUACAGCAGUUCUGAUUUCUCCUGCUUAAGCAUGCACUUCUGUGUUUCUUUCUGCAUUAUAUUAUCUUCUCAGGCAGCAUCCAGGCUCUUUCUUCAUUUUCCUUUUUCCCUGUAGUUCCACCAGUAGGGCACACCAUCCUCAAGAGGGGAAGUUCACCUUGGUGCUUGUAAAGGUGGGACAUGAGCAAUAGUUGCCAGUCUUCAGUUAGUGAUCAGCUCAUUCCAGAAUCACUUCGCCAGUUUUUUUAUGUUGUUUCCAUGUGUUUGUUCUAGAUCUCACAGUUUCCUUACUGCACUAUUUCCUGCCUCUUCUCACUUUGUCAUCCCCCUUUUGCCACCUCUACCAGAGAAGAAUUUAUGAGAGUGAAUGCUGACAAAAAAAGAGCAGUUUUUAUAGCAUCUGAGUCAUGCACCCUGAUGGACUUUUUGUUUUUCUUGUCUGCUAUUAUUUAGUGUCCCCUAGAUCACUUCUUCCCUCAUAUGGGUUGCCAUCUCUUUCUGUACUGUUCCAGUGUGUACAGGCCCUCAAACUAAAUAUGUUUCUGUGUCCAGGACAUCCACUACAGGACUUAAAAUACACCCUGGCCAUAAUUCAAGGCUUGCCUGUCUCUACCAUAUAAACUUCAAACAGAGACUGACAGCUUUUUCUGGUCCUAAUAUGUCUCUGCUUUCUUUUGGCUUUGAUCCAUCCCCAGAUGAUACAAUUUUUCAAAUUGUGUGCCUCUUUUUCCAGCUUGUAGAGUGUUGCAUAUCUGCCCACAGCUGGCAGCUGCUACUGCAGGAACAGCUGGAUUGCAACAAUCUGCAUCUCCAAGGCUUAGUCCCUGCUGAAUGUGCCAUUCCCCCAGCCCAGCCAUUUCUUCUACAAAAGGAAAGGAAGACAGGUGUUUCUAGGAGCAGAGUGGGCAUGUGUAGUAAGAGGUUGGAUUGGUUUUCUCCUUCCUUGAUUUCUCUAUCCAUCUACCUGAUUUUGUCCUUUACAGGUAAAGCCAUAAUAAAAACAGUCUGUACUCAGCUGGUGAGAAAGGGACAGAGACAGAUCUCUAAUCACACAGGACUACGAUCAGAGGCUUAUAAAGCAAGUGUAAGCAGAUUUGGUGCUUCCAUUCAGUAUCCACCUAUCAUCAGCUUGCUCUGAUUGCCAUCUAUUUUCUCCUGUUUCUCUCAGAUUUUCAACAAAGUUUCCCUGUCCCUCACAAAACCUGCUACUUGCCACUGCAAGGUUUGGCUGGAGUGAGUCACAGCCAGAUCGUAAAUUGAUGUAACUACUGUUUCUCUGCCUGCCUUGGAUUGUCAGUGAUCCAAAUUUAUUUUAUUUUAUAGUAAAUGAGAUAAUUGCCAGAAAACAGGACUGCAUUUUUUUCCCAGUCUUCUAUGAUGACUUUAAGCUUCCUCCUACCAAAGUUUUUUCAGAGGCUUGGUUGUUCAGCAACCCAACUAGAAGGAUUCACAGACAGUUUGUUACAAUGAAAAUCUUAUUUGCUACACUAUAUACACACUGAUAAGAAUUUACUGUUAGCCCAAUAAAUAUUCUAUACAGUAUAAUUUAUCUGAUUCAUGCAGAAGAGCCUCACUUUUGUGAUAUUCUGAUCACCUUUCCAGUUCCUUCUAAGUCCUGAGCUUGGCAGUCUUCCUGAUGCAGACAGAGAUGGGACUUGCUUUCUAAGUCAUCAGCCCCUGAGGCCUACACAAGAAGAAAAGUGAUGUUUAGGCUGGGGGAUUCUAAUUCCUCAGCUUUGGCACUCCUGCAGCUGUCUCCUCAGCACCUCCUGUGUUGCCUUCUGAUUCAACACGUGCACAAGGGGCACUUGCAGAGGGAGCUGAGUCAUUUUCUAAAUCUGGAACAUCAUCCUCAGAACACAAAAGCUUCCUCUGCAGGACUUAAGGGCAAGUAUUAACUGUGUCAUUCUGCAUAGGAUGUUUUAGCUUCUCUUACUUUAAAUUACUAGUGUGUCUUACUGAAAAGCGCAUAAUUUAGCUGUAUCCACCAAAAUCUUCUUUGUGACAUUUGUGUUGCAAAGUGCCAAAUGUUCUUACUUCUGUGUUCCAUUUCCUUUUCUUGUAAUUAAUUGUCAUUUCAGAAUAAACUCACAUCUUCACUGAUGGUUUUUAGUACAUACAUGUAAUUUCUGUGAACUGUGAUUACUUUGCUGUCGUUCUUGGGUCUCAAGGAACAUAACCUCCUGAACAAUCAAACUCUUAUUCCAGUCAGAACACUGAAAGAUGCUCACUAUGAAUAUCAAUCUGACUCAAGUCAUGUGAUAUACUUAACAUUUGAAAGGGCUGAUGGAUGAGGACAUGUAUUAGACACCCAAAAAGUGAGGAAAAAGCAAGAUCAACUGUUUAUGUCUUAUUAUUUUCUUAGCACUAUAAAAUAUCAUACACAUUCUUUGAAUUUUUAAAAUGAAAGACUUGUGUCCAUGUUUUCUCUGUGUUUGCCAGAAAUGUGUGCUCUGGUAUGUUGCAACCACUCUAGCACUACUACAAGUGAUUAAUACUAGGAUUUUUUUCAUGUUUAUGUCCAAGUUGCUGGGUUACUUGCAGCUCUGAAUAAGAUUUACAUGAAGACUUGUGAAGAGCUCUGUAUAUGAGUUAUAUUACAUUGCUCAAAAUAAAGCUUUUCAGCUGACUUCUUCAGUAUAAUUCUUUUUGUGUUUUAGGAAUUUUCAUCCUAGUUCUGUUUUUGUAAAUAUUGCCUUUAUUAAAUUUGUAAUAUCCCAAAAUAUUACUUUUUGCUUUAGGUUUAUUUUCUUGAUUUAUGUGCUAGCAAAUUUGUCUUCUCCUUCUCCCUUGUCUAGUUCUUUUUUGAUUUAACACUGAUUUUUUCCCUUUGUUUUACAGUAAGUCAUUGACAUCCCUAAGAAAUUUCAAAUUAACAUGGAAGAAAAUUGAACAGCAUAUCAAUGGAUGAGAUAGGCAUGAUGGUUUCUCCAUGAUGUCAUUGCAUGUUGAUGAAAGCACAGCACUAUGAAAUAUGAGAUGCAAAUGCCAUCAAAAUACUACUCUGGUUUUGCAAGGAGCUGCACAAGGAGCCAUUCCUUUUCUGCAAAAGGAAGACUUGAUUAUUUAUAAGUGUAAAAACAAAAACAGAAAAAUAAAUGUUUUCCAUUUUCUUAACUUCCUUUCUAUUCCACGAUGUAUAGAUAUUCCUAUUAAUUUUAAAAAGGCAAACUAUCACCUCUUGUCUCUGUUUUUCUUAAUUCUAGAAAUGUUUUGCAAAUUUAAUUUAAAACAGUCAAAUAUCUUGCCCUGUUUUUUUUUUAUUUUUAGAAUAAACUAAAGUGUUUCAGCUUUU